rnacentral:tmRNA from 1 species
GGGGCUGUAACGGGUUCGACGGGGGUAGUGAGGCUUGAUAAGCGGGCAGAGGCGCCUUGCCUCUAUAAAAAGGGCAACUUUUUAAAUUAACUGACAACGAUAAUUUCGUUCUGGCUGCUGCUUAAUUAGCAGCCCAUCCGUUCCGGAAGGACCACGAGCCGGGGUGCGGGUGUGAUUUGAGUGGUGACCGUGCGUAUGCUGGGCUUCGAGCAUACCAUGCAUAAGAAGCUACCAAGCCGGAGAGUGUGACGGUUCACGCUCCGGUAAGGGAAUGCAAACAAUCGUCUGCGCCCGGAGAAAGUCCUGUCAAGUUGCUUUCGGACAGGGGUUCAAUUCCCCUCAGCUCCACCA